UGUCUGUGAACAUAACAUUCAGGAUGUCAUCUUGAAAGCAGAGACCAAGGUCUUCACCAGAGACAGUCUGCCAAUGGCUUGAUUUUGCACUUCCCAGCCUAUAUAACUGUAACAGGAAACAGAGUCAUCCACUGUCACAGAAUCUCCGCUCGGCACAAAGGUGGAACUGAUGCUUUAGUGAGCUUCUGUUACGAAAAACUGAAGUUAAAAUAAGUGAACAAGUAUUUUCAAGGUGACAAACGAGUAGCAGUACUGACGAGCACGGACAUGGCUGACUCAAGGGUCAAGUCAGACCAUCCCAUCUCCUGAAUCCUCCCACCCCAUCCUGCUCGGGGAAGUACUCAAUGUCCACCCUCCCUCUCAUCUCCUGAAUCCUCCCACCCCAUCCUGCUGGGGGAAGUACUCAAUGUCCACCCUCCCUCUCAUCUCCUGAAUCCUCCCACCCCAUCCUGCUCGGGGAAGUACUCAAUGUCCACCCUCCCUCUCAUCUCCUGAAUCCUCCCACCCCAUCCUGCUGGGGGAAGUACUCAAUGUCCACCCUCCCUCUCAUCUCCUGAAUCCUCCCACCCCAUCCUGCUCGGGGAAGUACUCAAUGUCCACCCUCCCUCUCAUCUCCUGAAUCCUCCCACCCCAUCCUGCUGGGGGAAGUACUCAAUGUCCACCCUCCCUCUCAUCUCCUGAAUCCUCCCACCCCAUCCUGCUCGGGGAAGUACUCAAUGUCCACCCUCCCUCUCAUCUCCUGAAUCCUCCCACCCCAUCCUGCUCGGGGAAGUACUCAAUGUCCACCCUCCCUCUCAUCUCCUGAAUCCUCCCACCCCAUCCUGCUGGGGGAAGUACUCAAUGCCCACCCUCCCUCUCAUCUCCUGAAUCCUCCCACCCCAUCCUGCUGGGGGAAGUACUCAAUGUCCACCCUCCCUCUCAUCUCCUGAAUCCUCCCACCCCAUCCUGCUGGGGGAAGUACUCAAUGCCCACCCUCCCUCUCAUCUCCUGAAUCCUCCCACCCCAUCCUGCUGGGGGAAGUACUCAAUGUCCACCCUCCCUCUCAUCUCCUGAAUCCUCCCACCCCAUCCUGCUGGGGGAAGUACUCAAUGUCCACCCUCCCUCUCAUCUCCUGAAUCCUCCCACCCCAUCCUGCUGGGGGAAGUACUCAAUGCCCACCCUCCCUCUCAUCUCCUGAAUCCUCCCACCCCAUCCUGCUGGGGGAAGUACUCAAUGUCCACCCUCCCUCUCAUCUCCUGAAUCCUCCCACCCCAUCCUGCUGGGGGAAGUACUCAAUGUCCACCCUCCCUCUCAU
rnacentral:lncRNA from 1 species